UACGUAGGUGGCAAGCGUUGUCCGGAAUUAUUGGGCGUAAAGCGCGCGCAGGCGGUCCUUUAGGUCUGAUGUGAAAGCCCACGGCUCAACCGUGGAAGGUCAUUGGAAACUGGAGGACUUGAGUACAGAAGAGGAAAGCGGAAUUCCACGUGUAGCGGUGAAAUGCGUAGAGAUGUGGAGGAACACCAGUGGCGAAGGCGGCUUUCUGGUCUGUAACUGACGCUGAGGCGCGAAAGCGUGGGGAGCAAACAGG
rnacentral:rRNA from 1 species